rnacentral:rRNA from 1 species
UACGUAGGGUGCAAGCGUUGUCCGGAAUUAUUGGGCGUAAAGGGCUCGUAGGCGGUCCAUCACGUCGGGAGUGAAAAGCUGGGGCUUAACCCCAGUCCUGCUUCCGAUACGGGUGGACUAGAGGUAGGCAGGGGAGAACGGAAUUCCUGGUGUAGCGGUGAAAUGCGCGGAUAUCAGGAGGAACACCGGUGGCGAAGGCGGUUCUCUGGGCCUUACCUGACGCUGAGGAGCGAAAGUGUGGGGAGCGAACAGG